AACGCUGGCGGCAGGCUAACACAUGCAAGUCGAACGGAUCCUUCGGGAUUAGUGGCGGACGGGUAGUAACACGUGGGAACGCUUGGUCGGAACAACUCAGGGAAACUUGAGCUAAUACCGGAUGUGCCCUUCGGGGGAAAGAUUUAUCGCCAUUGGAGCGGCCCGCGUCUGAUUAGCUAGUUGGUGGGGUAAAGGCCCACCAAGGCGACGAUCAGUAGCUGGUCUGAGAGGAUGAUCAGCCACAUUGGGACUGAGACACGGCCCAAACUCCUACGGGAGGCAGCAGUGGGGAAUCUUGCGCAAUGGGCGAAAGCCUGACGCAGCCAUGCCGCGUGAAUGAUGAAGGUCUUAGGAUUGUAAAAUUCUUUCACCGGGGACGAUAAUGACGGUACCCGGAGAAGAAGCCCCUUGGCUAACUUCGUGCCAGCUAGCCGCGGUAAUACGAAGGGGGCUAGCGUUGCUCGGAAUUACUGGGCGUAAAGGGAGCGUAGGCGGACUGUUAAGUUAGAGGUGAAAGCCCAGGA
rnacentral:rRNA from 1 species